rnacentral:rRNA from 1 species
GACGAACGUUGGCGGCGUGCUUAACACAUGCAAGUCGAACGGAAAGGCCCUGCUUUUGUGGGGUGCUCGAGUGGCGAACGGGUGAGUAACACGUGAGUAACCUGCCCUUGACUUUGGGAUAACUUCAGGAAACUGGGGCUAAUACCGGAUAGGAGCUCCUGCUGCAUGGUGGGGGUUGGAAAGUUUCGGCGGUUGGGGAUGGACUCGCGGCUUAUCAGCUUGUUGGUGGGGUAGUGGCUUACCAAGGCUUUGACGGGUAGCCGGCCUGAGAGGGUGACCGGCCACAUUGGGACUGAGAUACGGCCCAGACUCCUACGGGAGGCAGCAGUGGGGAAUAUUGCACAAUGGGCGGAAGCCUGAUGCAGCAACGCCGCGUGCGGGAUGACGGCCUUCGGGUUGUAAACCGCUUUCGCCAGUGACGAAGCGUGAGUGACGGUAAUGGGUAAAGAAGCACCGGCUAACUACGUG